GGCUGCAAUCAUCUUGUUAUUAACUGUAAUAAUAUGGAAGUCAUUGACAUAAUGAAGAAUGGAGGGCAUUCUGCAGGAGCGGCGGCGACAGUUUUUGAUGAUUGCUAUUUUAUGGCUUGUGAUUUUUCUCUUACUAGUUUUGAACAUUGUAAUAGGGAAGCGAAUAGAGUAGCUCAUGAAUUUGCUAGAUUAGUGAAAUGUUCUUUCACAAGGAAUUGGUUCGAGGAGCCUAUGAAAAAUAUUGUAUCUCUUCUUAUAGACGAUGUAACCAUUGUUUCUAGUUAA
rnacentral:rRNA from 1 species